rnacentral:rRNA from 1 species
UUAGCGGGUCAAAUUCAUGCGAGUCGAGCGGACAGAAGGGAGCUUGCUCCCGGAUGUUAGCGGCGGACGGGUGAGUAACACGUGGGUAACCUGCCUGUAAGACUGGGAUAACUCCGGGAAACCGGAGCUAAUACCGGAUAGUUCCUUGAACCGCAUGGUUCAAGGAUGAAAGACGGUUUCGGCUGUCACUUACAGAUGGACCCGCGGCGCAUUAGCUAGUUGGUGGGGUAAUGGCUCACCAAGGCGACGAUGCGUAGCCGACCUGAGAGGGUGAUCGGCCACACUGGGACUGAGACACGGCCCAGACUCCUACGGGAGGCAGCAGUAGGGAAUCUUCCGCAAUGGACGAAAGUCUGACGGAGCAACGCCGCGUGAGUGAUGAAGGUUUUCGGAUCGUAAAGCUCUGUUGUUAGGGAAGAACAAGUGCGAGAGUAACUGCUCGCACCUUGACGGUACCUAACCAGAAAGCCACGGCUAACUACGUGCCAGCAGCCGCGGUAAUACGUAGGUGGCAAGCGUUGUCCGGAAUUAUUGGGCGUAAAGGGCUCGCAGGCGGUUUCUUAAGUCUGAUGUGAAAGCCCCCGGCUCAACCGGGGAGGGUCAUUGGAAACUGGGAAACUUGAGUGCAGAAGAGGAGAGUGGAAUUCCACGUGUAGCGGUGAAAUGCGUAGAGAUGUGGAGGAACACCAGUGGCGAAGGCGACUCUUUAUGGGUCUUUUAAAUUGGACCCCCCCCACGU